rnacentral:ncRNA from 1 species
AAAUUGAAGAGUUUGAUCAUGGCUCAGAUUGAACGCUGGCGGCAGGCCUAACACAUGCAAGUCGAGCGGUAGCACAGAGAGCUUGCUCUCGGGUGACGAGCGGCGGACGGGUGAGUAAUGUCUGGGAAACUGCCUGAUGGAGGGGGAUAACUACUGGAAACGGUAGCUAAUACCGCAUAACGUCGCAAGACCAAAGUGGGGGACCUUCGGGCCUCAUGCCAUCAGAUGUGCCCAGAUGGGAUUAGCUAGUAGGUGGGGUAACGGCUCACCUAGGCGACGAUCCCUAGCUGGUCUGAGAGGAUGACCAGCCACACUGGAACUGAGACACGGUCCAGACUCCUACGGGAGGCAGCAGUGGGGAAUAUUGCACAAUGGGCGCAAGCCUGAUGCAGCCAUGCCGCGUGUGUGAAGAAGGCCUUCGGGUUGUAAAGCACUUUCAGCGGGGAGGAAGGCGUUAAGGUUAAUAACCUUGGCGAUUGACGUUACCCGCAGAAGAAGCACCGGCUAACUCCGUGCCAGCAGCCGCGGUAAUACGGAGGGUGCAAGCGUUAAUCGGAAUUACUGGGCGUAAAGCGCACGCAGGCGGUCUGUCAAGUCGGAUGUGAAAUCCCCGGGCUCAACCUGGGAACUGCAUUCGAAACUGGCAGGCUAGAGUCUUGUAGAGGGGGGUAGAAUUCCAGGUGUAGCGGUGAAAUGCGUAGAGAUCUGGAGGAAUACCGGUGGCGAAGGCGGCCCCCUGGACAAAGACUGACGCUCAGGUGCGAAAGCGUGGGGAGCAAACAGGAUUAGAUACCCUGGUAGUCCACGCCGUAAACGAUGUCGAUUUGGAGGUUGUGCCCUUGAGGCGUGGCUUCCGGAGCUAACGCGUUAAAUCGACCGCCUGGGGAGUACGGCCGCAAGGUUAAAACUCAAAUGAAUUGACGGGGGCCCGCACAAGCGGUGGAGCAUGUGGUUUAAUUCGAUGCAACGCGAAGAACCUUACCUGGUCUUGACAUCCACAGAACUUUCCAGAGAUGGAUUGGUGCCUUCGGGAACUGUGAGACAGGUGCUGCAUGGCUGUCGUCAGCUCGUGUUGUGAAAUGUUGGGUUAAGUCCCGCAACGAGCGCAACCCUUAUCCUUUGUUGCCAGCGGUUAGGCCGGGAACUCAAAGGAGACUGCCAGUGAUAAACUGGAGGAAGGUGGGGAUGACGUCAAGUCAUCAUGG